ACGCUCGACACCUACGGGAGGGCAGCAGUGAGGAAUAUUGGUCAAUGGGCGCUAGCCUGAACCAGCCAAGUAGCGUGAAGGAUGAAGGCUCUAUGGGUCGUAAACUUCUUUUAUAUAAGAAUAAAGUGCAGUAUGUAUACUGUUUUGUAUGUACUAUAUGAAUAAGGAUCGGCUAACUCCGCGCCAGCAGCCGCGGUAAUCUGAGCGGGCUGGCAAGGC
rnacentral:rRNA from 1 species